rnacentral:rRNA from 1 species
AACGAACGCUGGCGGCAGGCCUAACACAUGCAAGUCGAACGCCCUAGCAAUAGGGAGUGGCAGACGGGUGAGUAACACGUGGGAAACCUUCCCUAUAGUACGGAAUAGCUCAGGGAAACUUGAAGUAAUACCGUAUACGCCCGAGAGGGGAAAGAUUUAUCGCUAUAGGAUGGGCCCGCGUCGGAUUAGCUAAGUUGGUGAGGUAAAUGGCUCACCAAGGCGACGAUCCGUAGCUGGUUUGAGAGAACGACCAGCCACACUGGGACUGAGACACGGCCCAGACUCCUACGGGAGGCAGCAGUGGGGAAUAUUGGACAAUGGGCGCAAGCCUGAUCCAGCCAUGCCGCGUGAGUGAUGAAGGCCUUAGGGUU